GACGAACGCUGGCGGCGUGCUUAACACAUGCAAGUCGCACGAAGUGGCGAACGGGUGAGUAACGCGUAAUCAAACUGCCCUUCAGAGGGGGACAACAGUUGGAAACGACUGAUAAUCACGCAUACGGAAGGAGGGGAUAGGGUCUGAUUAGCUAGUUGGAGGGGUAACGGCCGACCAAGGCGAUGAUCAGUAGCCGGUCUGAGAGGAGGAACGGCCACAUUGGGACUGAGACACGGCCCAGACUCCUACGGUAGGCCGCAGUGGGGAAUCUUCCGCAAUGGACGAAAGUCUGACGGAGCAACGCCGCGUGAGUGAUGACGGCCUUCGGGUUGUAAAGCUCUGUUAAUCGGGACGCGGUACCGGAAUAGAAAGCCACGGCUAACUACGUGCCAGCAGCCGCGGUAAUAC
rnacentral:rRNA from 1 species